ACUUUACAUCUAAAUGGUGUUUAUCAUAAUCAAAGAUUGAACUAAAAGCUUUUUAUCAAGUUACAUUUAAUUUUCACUUACUUUUUAUUGGUGAUCGAAGUGAAACUCAACUGAAACGCCUUAAAACUUCAGCCUGAAAGUUUUAAAUGUUGACAGAAAUUUUUCGCAGUUAAUCCUCCAUCUGUUGAAUCAAUAUUGCACUAAGCAAGGAAAAAUUGUUUUAUCUACCGAAAGAUAGCACUACACACUACUGAAAUAAAUUGCAGCAACAAACUCUUCAAGACUCGGUGGCGCCUUCGAGUUACUAAACAAAUGAAUGAAAACUCAUUGAUUAUUAAUAAAUUAUUAAUUCAAUAAGCUUUGAAUUUGAUGAUUCUGAAUGAAAAUUGGUGAACGUGACUAUUGCUUGGUUCGGAUUUUUGCUUCCCUCAAUGGCAAAACUGAUGAAUACGACAAUGAAAGGCAAAGAUGAUUUCCAUCUGUUUGUGCAAUCGUUGAUUCCAAAUAAUCGGGAAAUUUUUAUAUCGUAUAGAUGAUCUCAUGAUUUGUGCUGGCAUAUCUAUGCUUGUGUUUUGUUUCAAACAUGGUGAUUCAGAUAGACACACAUUCCUUCAAUUUGUGUAUCUUACUCUAUGGUACUGAUUUCCAAUGCCAUUCACAUGCCAUCUGAUUGGAUUAACUGUGUACUCAAUUUUAUUACCUCCAAUUGUAUAACAAGAUGAUAUUAUCGCGAAAGUACUGAGUUUUAUAAUGCUGUUAACUGCUUACUCAAUAUUAUCUACCAAUCUGGAUCUUAAGCUAACUUGGAAUUAUUAUGUAUUGCAAUUAAUGGUUUGAAAAUGCACACAAAUCUAAUAUUUAGAUGACAAAGAACUUGAACGUCAGAAAAAAGCAAGCCAAACUGGGUAUCAUCUAAUUGGGUUAACCAAAGAAACCAGAAAUGCAAGAAGUUCCUAUUUACAUUGGAUAAUUAGAUCGACAUCAUCAACACCAGGAUCCAUCAAGACAGGAGAAGACGGCAUUUAAAAACGGAAAUAAUGGUUAUAAUAUAAAUGAGGUUUAAACAGUUGAAUAAUUUGCUUACGGACAAGCUGAACAAUCAAGACAGUGAAUAACGAGAUAACCAGACAAACUGACAAUCUAAAGCAUUAGUGAGCAACCAGUUUACCUAUCAAAGACACACAAAGAGUACAAUCGGAAGCAAUGCUAUUUAAUUUCCGUUGGUUCAGUUGGAAAAUAUUGAUGAUUAAACCUUCUUUACGUAAUAGUCGGUUGAAUAAAUGUGGCAAAGACGAGUAAUGACAUGAUAAUUGGUGGAAACAUCAUCCCAAUGAAGCUACCAAUCCAUUGCUCAAUGGUUAAUUUGCAUUGCCUCCAUUGAACUUCAUUAAGAUUUGUGAUUUUACUCACAAUCAUAUGAAAUCUCUCCGGAUGCAUGAAAAUAAUUAAACCAUAGCAACAUAUAUUAAUCUCAAUUCAAUUGUAAUUUUUGUCGAUGUUGCACUCACGUGAACGUUAUAGUGGUUAUAAAUCAGAUAACUUGAAGAUGUUUGAUUAUACUUUUGACGUUCACCUGAUCAUUUUAUUGGUGAUCAAUGAUGAUCACUCACUUGAAACUUAACUAUCACUAAUCAGCUAGCAUGGACUUAUUUUUAGUCUAACCAUGUAAGUGUCAUUCAAUGAAUCUUUGAAUGUGAUAUGUUUAUAAUUCAUCCUAUUUAUCUGUCCAUUGUUACCAUUUUUUUUUGAUUAGUUAAUCAACAUUCAAUCAAUCACACAUAGUAACAUUAUUACAACACGAGAUACACUUGAAAAGAAUGUAAAUGUCAACAGAAACAUUAAAUCAUGACAAACGUUAAUUCCGUUUCUAGUUAA